rnacentral:rRNA from 1 species
GACGAACGCUGGCGGCGUGCUUAACACAUGCAAGUCGAACGGAAAGGCCCUGCUUUUGUGGGGUGCUCGAGUGGCGAACGGGUGAGUAACACGUGAGUAACCUGCCCUUGACUUUGGGAUAACUUCAGGAAACUGGGGCUAAUACCGGAUAGGAGCUCCUGCUGCAUGGUGGGGGUUGGAAAGUUUCGGCGGUUGGGGAUGGACUCGCGGCUUAUCAGCUUGUUGGUGGGGUAGUGGCUUACCAAGGCUUUGACGGGUAGCCGGCCUGAGAGGGUGACCGGCCACAUUGGGACUGAGAUACGGCCCAGACUCCUACGGGAGGCAGCAGUGGGGAAUAUUGCACAAUGGGCGGAAGCCUGAUGCAGCAACGCCGCGUGCGGGAUGACGGCCUUCGGGUUGUAAACCGCUUUCGCCUGUGACGAAGCGUGAGUGACGGUAAUGGGUAAAGAAGCACCGGCUAACUACGUGCCAGCAGCCGCGGUGAUACGUAGGGUGCGAGCGUUGUCCGGAUUUAUUGGGCGUAAAGGGCUCGUAGGUGGUUGAUCGCGUCGGAAGUGUAAUCUUGGGGCUUAACCCUGAGCGUGCUUUCGAUACGGGUUGACUUGAGGAAGGGUAGGGGAGAAUGGAAUUCCUGGUGGAGCGGUGGAAUGCGCAGAUAUCAUGAGGAACACCAGUGGCGAAGGCGGUUCUCUGGGCCUUUCCUGACGCUGAGGAGCGAAAGCGUGGGGAGCGAACAGGCUUAGAUACCCUGGUAGUCCACGCUGUAAACGGUGGGUACUAGGUGUGGGGUCCAUUCCACGGGUUCCGUGCCGUAGCUAACGCUUUAAGUACCCCGCCUGGGGAGUACGGCCGCAAGGCUAAAACUCAAAGGAAUUGACGGGGCCCCGCACAAGCGGCGGAGCAUGCGGAUUAAUUCGAUGCAACGCGUAGAACCUUACCUGGGUUUGACAUGGAUCGGGAGUGCUCAGAGAUGGGUGUGCCUCUUUUGGGGUCGGUUCACAGGUGGUGCAUGGCUGUCGUCAGCUCGUGUCGUGAGAUGUUGGGUUAAGUCCCGCAACGAGCGCAACCCUUGUUCACUGUUGCCAGCACGUUAUGGUGGGGACUCAGUGGAGACCGCCGGGGUCAACUCGGAGGAAGGUGGGGAUGACGUCAAGUCAUCAUGCCCCUUAUGUCCAGGGCUUCACGCAUGCUACAAUGGCUGGUACAGAGAGUGGCGAGCCUGUGAGGGUGAGCGAAUCUCGGAAAGCCGGUCUCAGUUCGGAUUGGGGUCUGCAACUCGACCUCAUGAAGUCGGAGUCGCUAGUAAUCGCAGAUCAGCAACGCUGCGGUGAAUACGUUCCCGGGGCU